rnacentral:tRNA from 1 species
UUGGGAAUGGUCGGGAUAGCUCAGCUGGUAAAGCAGAGGACUGAAAAUCCUCGUGUCUCCU